rnacentral:rRNA from 1 species
GAUGAACGCUAGCUACAGGCUUAACACAUGCAAGUCGCGGGGCAGCAUGGGGGUUGCUUGCAAUCCCCGAUGGCGACCGGCGCACGGGUGAGUAACGCGUAUCCAACCUGCCCUUCACCACGGGAUAACCCGGCGAAAGUCGGACUAAUACCGCAUGUUGUCCAUUGACGGCAUCCGAUUUGGACGAAAGGUUUGGCGGUGAAGGAUGGGGAUGCGUCCGAUUAGCUGGACGGCGGGGUGACGGCCCACCGUGGCGACGAUCGGUAGGGGUUCUGAGAGGAAGGUCCCCCACACUGGAACUGAGACACGGUCCAGACUCCUACGGGAGGCAGCAGUGAGGAAUAUUGGUCAAUGGGCGUAAGCCUGAACCAGCCAAGUAGCGUGCAGGAUGACGGCCCUAUGGGUUGUAAACUGCUUUUAUGCGGGGAUAAAGUGGCCCACGUGUGGGUUUUUGCAGGUACCGCAUGAUUAAGGACCGGCUAAUUCCGUG